AGUGAACGCUGGCGGUAGGCCUAACACAUGCAAGUCGAACGGCAGCACAGUAAGAGCUUGCUCUUACGGGUGGCGAGUGGCGGACGGGUGAGGAAUACAUCGGAAUCUACUUUUUCGUGGGGGAUAACGUAGGGAAACUUACGCUAAUACCGCAUACGACCUACGGGUGAAAGCAGGGGAUCUUCGGACCUUGCGCGAUUGAAUGAGCCGAUGUCGGAUUAGCUAGUUGGCGGGGUAAAGGCCCACCAAGGCGACGAUCCGUAGCUGGUCUGAGAGGAUGAUCAGCCACACUGGAACGGAGACACGGUCCAGACUCCUACGGGAGGCAGCAGUGGGGAAUAUUGGACAAUGGGCGCAAGCCUGAUCCAGCCAUACCGCGUGGGUGAAGAAGGCCUUCGGGUUGUAAAGCCCUUUUGUUGGGAAAGAAAAGCAGCAGGUUAAUACGCCGCUGUUCUGACGGUACCCAAAGAAUAAGCACCGGCUAACUUCGUG
rnacentral:rRNA from 1 species